rnacentral:rRNA from 1 species
UGAUCACCCGGGAACUCCCAGGCCAGAAAAAAAGGAUGACAGAUGAGAGUUUUUUGUUUUCAGUGGUGGGCAGGCCGUCUUAGUCGGGGGGACUGUCUGCUUAAUGCGAAACGAGCGAGACCUUACUCUGCUAAAUAGCCAGGCUAGCUUUGGCUGGUCGCCGGCUUCUUAGAGAGACUAUCAACUCAAGUUGAUGGAAGUUUGAGGCAUAACAGGUCUGUGAUGCCCUUAGAUGUUCUGGGCCGCACGCGCGCUACACUGACAGAGCCAACGAGUUCUUUUCCUUGUUCGAAAGAAUUGGGUAAUCUUGUUAAACUCUGUCGUGCUGGGGAUAAAGCAUUGCAAUUAUUGCUUUUCAACGAGGAAUGCCUAGUAAGCGCGUGUCAUCAGCAUGCGUUGAUUACGUCCCUGACCUUUCUCUCUCUUUCUCCCAUCGCUACUACCGGAUUAAAAUGGGUCAUUCGGAGAUGCA